rnacentral:rRNA from 1 species
AUGAACGCUAGCUACAGGCUUAACACAUGCAAGUCGAGGGGCAGCAGGAUCUAGCAAUAGAUUGCUGGCGACCGGCGCACGGGUGAGUAACACGUAUCCAACCUGCCGAUAACUCGGGGAUAGCCUUUCGAAAGAAAGAUUAAUACCCGAUGGUAUAAUCAGACCGCAUGGUUUGAUUAUUAAAGAAUUUCGGUUAUCGAUGGGGAUGCGUUCCAUUAGGCAGUUGGUGAGGUAACGGCUCACCAAACCUUCGAUGGAUAGGGGUUCUGAGAGGAAGGUCCCCCACAUUGGAACUGAGACACGGUCCAAACUCCUACGGGAGGCAGCAGUGAGGAAUAUUGGUCAAUGGACGCGAGUCUGAACCAGCCAAGUAGCGUGAAGGAUGACUGCCCUAUGGGUUGUAAACUUCUUUUAUAUGGGAAUAAAGUUUUCCACGUGUGGAAUUUUGUAUGUACCAUAUGAAUAAGGAUCGGCUAACUCCGUGCCAGCAGCCGCGGUAAUACGGAGGAUCCGAGCGUUAUCCGGAUUUAUUGGGUUUAAAGGGAGCGUAGGUGGACAGUUAAGUCAGUUGUGAAAGUUUGCGGCUCAACCGUAAAAUUGCAGUUGAUACUGGCUGUCUUGAGUACAGUAGAGGUGGGCGGAAUUCGUGGUGUAGCGGUGAAAUGCUUAGAUAUCACGAAGAACUCCGAUUGCGAAGGCAGCUCACUGGACUGCAACUGACACUGAUGCUCGAAAGUGUGGGUAUCAAACAGGAUUAGAUACCCUGGUAGUCCACACAGUAAACGAUGAAUACUCGCUGUUUGCGAUAUACAGUAAGCGGCCAAGCGAAAGCAUUAAGUAUUCCACCUGGGGAGUACGCCGGCAACGGUGAAACUCAAAGGAAUUGACGGGGGCCCGCACAAGCGGAGGAACAUGUGGUUUAAUUCGAUGAUACGCGAGGAACCUUACCCGGGCUUAAAUUGCAUUUGAAUAUAUUGGAAACAGUAUAGCCGUAAGGCAAAUGUGAAGGUGCUGCAUGGUUGUCGUCAGCUCGUGCCGUGAGGUGUCGGCUUAAGUGCCAUAACGAGCGCAACCCUUAUCUUUAGUUACUAACAGGUCAUGCUGAGGACUCUAGAGAGACUGCCGUCGUAAGAUGUGAGGAAGGUGGGGAUGACGUCAAAUCAGCACGGCCCUUACGUCCGGGGCUACACACGUGUUACAAUGGGGGGUACAGAAGGCAGCUACCUGGUGACAGGAUGCUAAUCCCAAAAGCCUCUCUCAGUUCGGAUCGAAGUCUGCAACCCGACUUCGUGAAGCUGGAUUCGCUAGUAAUCGCGCAUCAGCCAUGGCGCGGUGAAUACGUUCCCGGGCCUUGUACACACCGCCCGUCAAGCCAUGAAAGCCGGGGGUACCUGAAGUACGUAACCGCAAGGAGCGUCCUAGGGUAAAACUGGUAAUUGGGGCU